rnacentral:sRNA from 2 species
ACCUACCUACCACCCAGCACCAGAGGGCGGAAGUGGGGGAACCACAGGUUCCUCGGAUCGCCGGGCGCCCCUCGCCGGUGAUCCUGGGGCGAAGCCGCGCACGGCGGCCGGGUACUUCUUCCGACCCGAGCCCGACAGCUAACCUCACAGGCGUGCAGGAAGGAUCC